rnacentral:lncRNA from 1 species
UUUUCCGACGGAGACUACGUGGCGGCUCUUGCCCUCAUCGGCGUCGAACCCCACGAAGCACCCGUCGGGGGUAACCGGUGAGGGAGUUGCCACCACAUUAGGAGGCACGUCGGAGAGAACCCGGUGGCCAUUAGCCACAAAGUCCGACCCUUGCAACGCGAUCAACGGCUGCUUAUACCCACCGCCGAGCUCGGCAAUGCCGGAGUUACCCUUACUCAAGCUGGGAGCCAUGGAUGAAUUGCACUAUACAGUUUGUUAGAACGG